rnacentral:rRNA from 1 species
GUCUGUUUGAUGAUAUAAAUGGUUUAACCUGCCCACUGAAAUAUAUUAAAGGGCCGCGGUAAUUUAACCGUGCAAAGGUAGCAUAAUCACUAGUCUUUUAAAUGGAGGCUUGAAUGAACGGUUGAACAAAUAAAUAACUGUCUAUUUUUUAAAUUUUGAAUUUAACUUUUAAGUGAGAAGGCUUAAAUAUUUCAAAGGGACGAUAAGACCCUAUAAAUCUUUAUAUAAAUAUUUAUUUUUAAUUGAUAAGAAUGUUUAAUAAUUUAUAAUAGAUAAUAUAUUUUAUUGGGGCGAUAAAAGUAUAAAUAAUGUAACUGCUUAUAGGUAAAUACUUGUAUCUUUGUUUUAUUUAAUGAUCCUUUAAAAGAUUAAAAGAUUAAGUUACUUUAGGGAUAACAGCGUUAUUUUUUUUGAAAGUUCUUAUUGAAAAAAAAGUUUGCGACCUCGAUGUUGAAUUAAAAUUUCUUUAUGGUGUAGCCGUUAUAAGAGAAGGUCUGUUC